rnacentral:rRNA from 1 species
AAGAUGGUUUCGGCUAUCACUUACAGAUGGACCCGCGGCGCAUUAGCUAGUUGGUGAGGUAACGGCUCACCAAGGCGACGAUGCGUAGCCGACCUGAGAGGGUGAUCGGCCACACUGGGACUGAGACACGGCCCAGACUCCUACGGGAGGCAGCAGUAGGGAAUCUUCCGCAAUGGACGAAAGUCUGACGGAGCAACGCCGCGUGAGCGAAGAAGGCCUUCGGGUCGUAAAGCUCUGUUGUUAGGGAAGAACAAGUACGAGAGUAACUGCUCGUACCUUGACGGUACCUAACCAGAAAGCCACGGCUAACUACGUGCCAGCAGCCGCGGUAAUACGUAGGUGGCAAGCGUUGUCCGGAAUUAUUGGGCGUAAAGCGCGCGCAGGCGGUUUCUUAAGUCUGAUGUGAAAGCCCACGGCUCAACCGUGGAGGGUCAUUGGAAACUGGGGAACUUGAGUGCAGAAGAGGAGAGUGGAAUUCCACGU